rnacentral:rRNA from 1 species
CGAAGGUAGCAUAAUCAGUAGUCUUUUAAUUGAAGGCUGGUAUGAAUGGUUGGACGAAAUAUUAACUGUUUCAUAAAAAUUUUUUAUAGAAUUUUAUUUUUUAGUCAAAAAGCUAAAAUAAAUUUAAAAGACGAGAAGACCCUAUAAAUCUUUAUAUAAAAUUUUAUUAUAAUUUUUUAGAUAUAUUUUGUUAUAAUAAAUUAUUAUAUUUUAUUGGGGUGAUAUUAAAAUUUAAUAAACUUUUAAUUUUAUAUAAUCAUUAAUAUAUGAAUAAAUGAUCCGUUUUUAACGAUUAAAAAAUUAAGUUACUUUAGGGAUAACAGCGUAAUUUUUUUGGAGAGUUCAUAUCGAUAAAAAAGAUUGCGACCUCGAUGUUGGAUUAA